AACGAACGCUGGCGGCAGGCCUAACACAUGCAAGUCGAGCGCUGUAGCAAUACAGAGCGGCGCACGGGUGAGUAACACGUGGGAACGUGCCCUUUGGUUCGGAAUAACCCAGGGAAACUUGGGCUAAUACCGGAUGAGCCCUAACGGGGAAAGAUUUAUCGCCGAAGGAGCGGCCCGCGUCGGAUUAGCUAGUUGGUGGGGUAAAAGCCUACCAAGGCAACGAUCCGUAGCUGGUUUGAGGGAACGACCAGCCACACUGGGACUGAGACACGGCCCAGACUCCUACGGGAGGCAGCAGUGGGGAAUCUUGGACAAUGGGGGAAACCCUGAUCCAGCCAUGCCGCGUGAGUGAUGAAGGCCCUAGGGUUGUAAAACUCUUUUCGGCGGGGACGAUAAUGACGGUACCCGCAGAAGAAGCUCCGGCUAACUUCGUGCCAGCAGCCGCGGUAAUACGAAGGGGGCUAGCGUUGUUCGGAAUUACUGGGCGUAAAGCGCGCGCAGGCGGUUCUUCAAGUCAGAGGUGAAAGCCC
rnacentral:rRNA from 1 species